AUUGAACGCUGGCGGGGUGCUUAACACAUGCAAGUCGAUCGGUAACGCGGGGGCAACCCUGGCGACGAGAGGCGGACGGGUGAGGAACGCUUGGGAAUCUGCCCUUCAGCGGGGGACAACCCGGGGAAACCCGGGCUAAUACCGCAUACGUCCUACGGAGGAAAGCCGGGGCUCGUCAGACCUGGCACCGAAGGAUGAGCCAAAGUCGGAUUAGCUAGUUGGCGGGGUAACGGCCCACCAAGGCGACGAUCCGUAGCUGGUCUGAGGGGACGAUCAGCCACACUGGGACUGAGACACGGCCCAGACUCCUACGGGAGGCAGCAGUGGGGAAUAUUGGACAAUGGGCGAAAGCCUGAUCCAGCGACGCCGCGUGGGUGAAGAAGGCCUGCGGGUUGUAAAGCCCUUUCGGUAGGGACGAAGGCCUCCGACCUAACACGUCGGGGGGUUGACUUAACCUACAAAAGAAGCACCGGCUAACUCUGUGCCAGCCGCCGCAGUAAUAC
rnacentral:rRNA from 1 species